UACAGAGGGUGCAAACGUUGUUCGGAAUUACUGGGCGUAAAGCGUGUGUAGGCGGCUUUGUAAGUCGGAUGUGAAAGCCCCGGGCUCAACCCGGGAAGUGCACUCGAUACUGCGAAGCUUGAGUACUGGAGAGGUUGGUGGAAUUCUCGGUGUAGAGGUGAAAUUCGUAGAUAUCGAGAGGAACACCGGUGGCGAAGGCGGCCAACUGGACAGAUACUGACGCUGAGGCACGAAAGCGUGGGUAGCAAACAGG
rnacentral:rRNA from 1 species